CCUGUUGUAUGUAUUUUUUAACAAUGCAUGCAUUCCCUGGGGCUGUAAUUUAUUCUACUUGCCAUGAUGUCAUGGUUCACUACGAAAAGUAGGAGCAUGGUGACUUCAGACUUCUCAACACAUUAAACCUAUGAGCAGAGUGUAACCCGCCAACGUUGUGCCCGGAAGUCCUGAAGACUUCUGGGAUGGACUCAUCCUGCAUCAACGAGCCUAGUUGUUUUCAGCUAAAGCUUGUGAGUAUGAGGGUACAGGGACUGUGCUUGUGAGUAAGCAGGCCGGCGUGCUGCUGGGGGUGCAUCAGGUAGAGAGACUAUAGCGUGUGCAUCUGUUCCUCUCUCUCAACGUCUGCCCGAAUCUCCUUCACCCUCCCCGGAGUGAAGCAGUGAGGCAGGAGCAAUGCUCACAUUUCACUCCAAGCACCUACCUCGUUAUAUUUUCAGCAAAAUAGCUUUCUAUCUAAGAAGUAUUCUGGGACAAAUGUAAAGUUUAUUCAUCCAUUCAAUUAAUGUCAGUGAUGAGCCAUGCCCUUGUCUAGGUGCUGGGGGUGUAAGAGUGGAAAGAAGGAACCCACAAAUCCCUGCUCUUAUACAGCUGACACUCUAGUGGAUUUAAACAUGUCUCAUUCUCAUCACACAUAGGUGAGGAAACUGAGGUUAAUUGACUUAACCAAGGACAAACAGUAAAGGGCAGAGCUAAGAUUUUAAGUAAGGUACUAGAAACCUCCAUUACUUCUGGUAAACCACUCUUUCCAAUCUCCAAGAUCAUCUAGAAAAACUCCAGUAAAGGCAUCCUAUCCUCCUUCAACUGAAGAAUGGGUACAUGACCCAAAUGUCAUUCCAAUGCCGGUUUCUGCUAUCAAGACCUCCUGGAUGUAUGACUUUUUUUUGUUCUCAAGUAGAUUUUUCAGCUUUGCCUAUGAUUCUGUAAGCCAUCCCAUAUUUUUCCAAUAAACCUUUUUUUAUCCAGUUA